rnacentral:lncRNA from 1 species
GACUGUUGGAGGUAUACCCUAGAGGCAAUCAUAGAGAUGAUGAUAUCUAAUUGUAUCCAUGAUUUGUAUAUUAUGUUCAUUGAAUAUCCAUUAAAGGCUACUUGAAUUGAUCUGCAAUUAUGUGAAUUGUAUGUGGAACUCUUUACUUGUAUGGUUAUUCUAAAAGUUAUCCCUAGUCGGAGUUCAUGUGUGGACACACAUGAAUAUUAGACUAGUACAUGUAUUAGUUGAUGACUAUGUUUCACAAGUCAUGAACAUGGAGAUGUCAAACUAAUAAUGUAGGCGUAUGUAGAGACAUGUGCUAGGAUUGACCCAACAUGAGAAGUAGUUCUCUCUUUACACAACAAGUACACUUUGUCCUUAGACCUGAGAUUGUUGCAUAUACUCAAGAUGUGGAUCGACUUACUUAGGGGCUAUCAAACGCUACACCGUAAUAGGGUAGUUAAAAAGGUAGCUUUCGGGUUUGUCAGGAAGCAUGCUGUGAGGCAUGGUCAAUCAAGAUGGGAUUUGCCCCUCUCUGAUUAAGAGUGAUAUCUGGGCCCCUCGAGUGAUCGGAUUCGGAAAUGCAUGGCCAUGCUACGUACGGUUAAGAGUUAACCUACAAAGGGAUUCCGAAUCACAGGAUCGAGAAAGAGCGGUCGGCUUGAAGCUAGACCAAAUAUCGUGAGGCCAAGGAAAUAGCAUGUACAUGAUGUUGUGACGGUUCGUCUGAUAUGAUCUUCGUGUGCGUAUAGGAGUUGGCACGUCUUGCUAGAGGCCGCAACCGACUAUUGGGCCGAGUAGGAGUACUCAGGCCAUGUCUAUACGUAUCCGAACCCAUAGGGUCACACACUUAAGUCUACGCUGAUCGACUUCGCUGCCCCGACGCGAUUCUACAACUUCCACACCUGUGCGUCGAGUGGUAAUCCCGUGAUCCAUAUACGACAGUUUUCCUGGUUUACGCGGUAGAAAAAUUUUGUUUUGCGCUAGCGUAGCCUACCUCGUAUCCCAACAAAAAGGGAAAGGUAGAAGCAUACGAAAAGUCUAGUCAAGAGUAGCGGUAGUCAACAACACUGUCCAUACCUAUGGACACGGACUAUAGCUAUAGAUUUAUAUACUCUGCAGAGGUUGUACACAUGUACCCGCACGGAUGGAGCCUGAACAGGGAUCAGCCGUCCAAACCCCACCUAACGGCCGGAGCCCUAGUAAGUGGAUAGCCCUCGCCCGUUUCCUUGAGUCUAGAACUGUCCUCGUCAGCAGGGCACGCCGUCACCAGAGAGGACCUCGAAGCUGUGAAACCUACCCAUGCCGGGGUGCAGUCUUGUUAGAGCAGACCAUAGCCUCGAACUCCUUACACAACCCUCCUGCCCACCUAUGGGAAGAUCGCUAUCCACUACUAGUCUUGGACGGAACCCCGCCCAUAUGUGAGCGAACAAUAUGUACGUAAAUAGAUGUUGUGACUGGUGGUGAACUGACUCGGUCCUUAAGCAGUUGAGAGCGAGCACCAACCAACUCCGUAGUAACAAGCAAGGUACCCACCACAGGUACGGGGUAUGGAGAGAGUCCAGAAUGCUCUCUCCCGGCAUGGCACUCCUCAGUACGUACCCUGGCUCAAUCCCGCCAAGUACCCAUCAAGGAAUCAUACUCACCCAAAACUUACGGGAGAGUAGUCAAGGAAUCCCAUCACCAACCUAUGGUAAAUACCCAUCCAUAACUCAAAGGCAUGUAUAUGGAUGAAUAAAUGGUGGACUAGCUAGGGGUCCAUAGCUAGUCCACAAAAGUAGGUAGAUAAGGAAGCUGGAUAAAAUAAUUAUCAAGGCAUGGCUAAAAUAUUGGCUAUGCAAUCCAUCAUCAUCAAGCAAGCGAUAUAAACAAAGUGCUAGCAACUAAGCAUGCAUAGGAUCUAUAUGUUUGGGAGUGACACGGCACCUUAUAUUUGUUUGUUGAAGUCCUUGCCAUUGAAGUCGAGGUCAAAGGGUCUUCUUGAUCAUCACAGCUCGGGUCUUCAAAUGGAUCUACAACAUACACGAGAUGCGACGUGAAAAUAAAUAAGAGGCAAUACAUCUAAUGCAAAAAUACCAAGAAGAGCAAAAUAGAAUAUUCAAAUAACUCCAAACUAGCUACAAACAGAAUGGGUUCAAUUUUAGGAAAUUAGUGAAGUUGGUUUUAUAAUUUUCUGAGCUAGUAUGAAUUAUUAAUGAAUUAAAUAGGAAGUAAAGUAGAUUAAUCAAUUUAAAUUCUAAAAUUAAGGUGGGGACAUGUGUCAGCACCUGAUUGUGUUGCGGGUCUCAUGGUUGGGAUCUUUUGUGGCCAUACGUGCAUGUGGGUUGCUGUGUGGCAGGCUUGCGAGCGGCUGGGUGCGUGCACUUGCAAGGUGUUCGGGCAAAUGCCCCGAAAGGAAGCGGCGACAAGCUUUGCAAGGCAACAGCGAAAACAAGGCUUGCGGUGGUAGCUCAAGGCUUGGCUUCCCAGCCUCAUCCAUACGGUGGACGACGACGGCUUCAAGGUGGCACAGCACGGCUAAGGCUUGGCCUUCCGACCUUGCCCGAGUUGCGGAGCACGUGAGGCUCAUAGCAAGGCCAUGGCUGCGGCAAGGGAGGCGGCAGCACGGCAAGCGGCAUGGCGAAGGGUUGCGGCGCGACAAGGAGUUGCUGCGCGCGAGGUGCUUGGUAAUAUGCCGCAAAGGCAGUAGCAGCAUGGGCACGCACAGCGGUAGCAAGGUGGCGGAAGCAAGGUGGUGGAAAGUGCACAUGGGUGGCGGAGUGAUAGGGAAAAGCAUGAGCGAGCGGCAGUGACACCUGCAAGAAAAGGGGGCACGGCUCGAAGGCCGGCACACAAGCGACGGCGGGGCUGCAGCAUAGCGGCACGGCUCCUCGGCACGAAGGCCGGACAUAGAGACAAGGCGUAAGUUCACCUAGGGCUUGACGGGCUGCUUGGGCAUUUCGUCGAACACGUGAUCACGAGGUGGAUGGCAGCCGGCUCGGUACUUGGCCAGCAGACUAGUACACAGCGAGCUGGUGAUUCAGGCAUAUCGUCGAACAGGUCGUGGGUGAGGUGGAUGAAGGCAGCCGCUUGCGGUCGUCGGCGUCGCUACGGCGCCUCUGCUCCCUCAUCCGGUCGUCGAUGUCCUUGCUGGCUUGGUGAAGGGGCGGCGCGCGGCGGCGUCAGCGGUGGCACGCGGCAGCGAUGGCGUAGUUGCGGCUUGUGUUCCUCCUGGUGCUUGGCAUAGCUGAGGCAGGGCAGCGGCUUGGCGCAGACACGAUGCAGCUCCCCUCCGCUCCGGCCCGGUCUUCUUCUCCCCUUCCUUGCGUCCUGCUUGGUGUAGUCGUCUCCGACGGUGAGGAUGCAGCUCGGACCGGACGGCAGUGCGGCCAGCUCUUCAUCCACACGGUGCUCUUCCUCUUCCCCGGCCGACGGUGCUGCAGGCGCCCUCUCCUUCUUCCUCCUCCUUCUCCUCAUCCCUCCUCCUUUCUCUGGUCCGCUCUUCUCUCUCGCGAUGGGGUUUUCUCUCGGAUUGGCUUGGAGCAAGAAGAGGCGGCGGUUUGGAAGGCUGGAGAGGGAGCGGUUGCUGUCGUAAGGAAGAGAGCAGCGGCCGUGAGGAUUUAUAGCAGCACGCUAGGAAUCCGCGAGGGGCUGAGAGGCGUGGACGGUGGUGAUCCUCGGCUUCCGCACACAGGGCACGUGGUGAGCAUCCGGACGGUGGCGUGGGAGGCACGCGGGUGCGGGAUCAGGUGAGAGCAGCGGCGUUUCGGGCGCGGGCGCGUGCGCUCGCAGCCGCGGCCAUGAGAAGGAAAGCAAGCAGCAGGGGGAAAGCGGAGCAGGUCACGAGCACGGGCAGAGGCGCGUCGCGGCGCUGGAGCCUAGCACGGCACGCAGGGAAAAAGAUGUGGGCGGAGCGGCUUGCGAGCGAAGGAAGGAAGAGAAAAGGAGAGGCGCGCGAGAGGAAGGGCGGCGCAGGCGGCGGCGUCUGCAUGCGAGAUGAGGACGACAAAUGAACAGCAGCAUGUGCUGUUGUCCUCGCACGUGUAGGCCUGCGCCAAGGCGUGGAGCAGGGCAGGUUCGCUGCCUUGCAAACGGCAGGCCGCUGGGCCCGGGUGCAAGAAAAGAAGGGAAAGCAAAACGGAGACCAGGUUGGAGCACUGCUGGGCUUCACGAGAGAGAAAAACAAGAGAGAAAGGAAACGAGCUGGGCUGCAGCGUUUCGUGAAAGAAGAGAAACAAAGCAAGGAGAUUAAUGUGGACGGGUUUUUGGCCAGGGUGAUUAGCGGGUGUGAAACUCGUUAGCUCGUCAGUUAGCAAGUUGACAAGAGGAGGUAAAGACAGAUGGUCAAGGAGAUUGCUAGCGGACUUGCCGAGCAGUUUGGUCAAUGGAUAGCUCGGGUGCAAAGUCAGAGUUAGGCACAUUUGAUUUUUAUUAUGCUAUUUACAUACUAGCUUUAGUUUGUAUUUUUGAUCCAAAAAUACAAACUCACUUUUGAGAUCCAAAUUAAAUCAAAUAAAAUCCAAGCAAGCAUGUUUUAAAUUUAAAUGCACAAUUUAAUUGCUAGCUUUUGAAUUUAGAGAAAAGAAAUGAGGGUUGACCUUAAGUUUGACCAAGUAUUUAUAUGAUUCACACAAUCAAACAAAAAGAUUUAAAUUUUUGCAAAAACUAGCACAAUUACUAUCACACAAUUUGAGGGAUAUUACAGUACAUCUCUGAUCACAGGCAGAAAAUUGAUCAUAACAGCAACAUUGAACCUGAGAUCUUGAUGAUCCAACUUGCAAGUAUUUAGGCAUGACUUCUCCACAUCAUUUGGAUCUCAUGUUAUUGCAUGGUUAGUGAAAUUCCGGCAAUCUCCUAGCAAGUGCGCAUUUAAGAUCAUUACCUUGACCAAGCGCAAAGUAAGAUCGAGAUUUACAAAACUUAUUGUAAACAUAAGCAUCCAUAAUCACCACAAUUGAGUUGCAAAAGAAUAUCAUGGUGCAAUUUAAUAUAGCGCAUGUUUCUUGCAUAGCACUAACAUCUCCACAAGGCAAAGGUUUUGAAGGCAUAAAAUCAAUAGGUUCAAACAAAAGUAUUGCCUCUUUAUCAUUCUCAAGAAAUUCUAGCCUAUUGUUGACACCGGAUUUUGACCAGCUAAAUCUUGUAGAAGAUGACAAGUCUAAUUGGAAGUUAGCUGAUAAGCCUGAUGGAGCCGACGGGGUUGCAGCGUGCGCUAUGGGAUUUUAGUGCAAAGAUGGACUUCAUCUGAUUGGUCAGUAAGAAAAGAAUAUUUAAAGAGAGGACAAUGCAGUACGUGCAAGGUCAUUAAUAACGAAGACAAGGUAGCACGUAUAAGCAAAAAGAGCCCACUUAUGGCAACUAAGAGAUGAUUAGAAUAAAGAAGUCAGGAAGGAAAAGCUCACGCGUAGAGAUAAAAUUGAUUAGAAUAGAGAAAGAGAAGCGUGUUGCCGCAUGGAAAAGAUGUCCAGGUUGGUUACGCAUGUUGGCCGAUCCUUGCACGAACAGCUCGGAGGAAGUUUCAUUAGCAAGGAUUCUACUUAAAGGAAAUUAGAGUUUAUGUAUCUUAGUAUUUUCUUUUGUUUAGAUAUUUUAUAUUAGGAAAGUCUUGUACGACUCAUGCUAGGAGUCAUUAGUUUGGGGUAUAAAUAUGUACCCAGGGUCAUUGUAAAAAAGAUCAUCACACGAUCAAUACAACACAUCUAUCUUCCCCGCUUCACGCUAUCGCAUUAGGAGUAGGAGUAAGGUAGCUUCUUGAUGAGUUCUUUCCAGUAAGCUGGGCUGCAUCGACUUCGAUCUCUGGCAAUCUGCAAGUUCCCAUCACCAGGUAUCCUAGACUUCAACUUCCGGGCGCAUCGCUGUCGUUGGGUCUAGUUCUUGCCUACAAGUUAUCGAGUAUCUUGGAUCUUCGACUUACGGCGCAUUGCUUCUGUCUCGAUCCAUGGUAUUCACCAGUUAUCAGUUUUAUCAUAUCUUGUAAGGCUGCAUCAUUCAAUCUCUUGCUAGAUGUGGUAGAAUCAUGGUUAUUCUACCUUGAUUAAGAUUGCAUCGGCUGAUAUUUAUUUAAUCUAUUGUUUUGCCGUCUAGUUUGCUUUAAUUAGCUUUAGAUUGUAUCAUCAUAGACGAUAGAUCACUUAAUAGCCUGUUGCAUCUUAAUAUUGGCUACCCCUCAAGUGCUGUUGGAAUGGAAGUCCAUUGUGGUUAGAUUCAUCGGCUGGCGAGUUUCAGAUUGACGCCCUGCUGAGUGUUUCUAGGCUGCAACUACCGGGCGCAUCGCUGUGAUUUCACCUAGAAAUACUAGUAGUGACGUUAGUUUCCUAUUGGCUUUCUAGCCGAUAGCCUGCAUCGGUUGUUUAGCCAAUCGCACGUGCUUUAAUGCCUAUGGCCUAUUUUCACGAUUUUGUUGAAGUAUAGAUAGAUUUGUUUACUUUGAAGUUUUAAUCUGUUGUCCUUAUUAUGGCUGCCAUCGACCCGAUCGAACCCCACUGUUAUGGAUAAUAGGGAAGAUUUGAUGAGUCUAUAGAUCUGUUUAUAUCAAGCAGUUGACUGAUAGCAUGCCAUGCUCUGUUUCCUAUCGGCUUUGUAGCUAAUAGCUUUUAUGCUCCAUUAUCAAAUCGGCUUGGAUAGCCGAUGGAGCACUCACGUUCAUCAGGAUACUGGAAUCGGCUUCAUAGCCAAUAAUUUAUUCAUCAUGCUUUAUUUUGCUACACCAUCAUCAUUGUUGGUGCCAUCAGCCUGAUCGGUCGGUUGCCUCGAAAUUCAAAAGGACUAUCUUCACCUUGUCAGUUGAAUGGUCAAACUGACUGGCACGCCCGCGUAUACCACGCACGCCGAUCUACAGGACCUGCACUAGAGUGAAGCAAAUCUCCCAGGCCUUCAGUGUGUUGCCAACGCAGGAGUCAGCUGUGGUGGAACCGCUCUAAUUAACUUAGCUAAAGCACAAUUAAGUCGCCUGACACGCGAUUAUAUGCUUUAAUCAAGUUAACUCGGCAGUCCGUCGGAUUUCCUCCGAUAAACCACUACACAGGACCGAGAAAGCAGAACUCACACGAAGGUGAGUGGUUCCAGAGAAUACAAUAGAUCAUCCAAAAUUCAACCAGUACAUUAAUGUAUUACACAUCGGGUUCGAAAUUCAAACAUAGUUGCAGAGUUCUCAAGCAGCGAAAAAAGACAAAUGGAAGCUAGCGCCGAUGGUCGGAUGUCACGAUGAGGCCGAUCAUGACAUCAAUGAGUCCCAUCCUCACCGUCCGAGGAGGGAUCCCACUCGACCGUCCACCCAGGAGGAAGCUGGGGAGGCCAAGUGCCACAAGCAGCAAACUCAGGGGCUUCAACAUCACCUGAAAGAUGUGCCACAAGUAAGGCUGAGCAACUAUGCUCAACAAGACUUAACCGACCGGUGGUAACUACUCCACCAACUUCUAGACAUGCAAGGCUUUUUGGUUGAGGGGUUUGUUUUAUCAAAAGCGACUAUAGUAGGUCCUUACUUUCAAUAUUUUAGCCACAAGUUCUAUGUUCAUUUACCAAUCUAAGUUAGCAGCUAUACUAAACAAGCAGAAGUUUCCAAGCAAUUUAUGACAAGCAUUCAUAUUAACAUCACCAUCAAGUUCCAUUCUUACUCACUGUAGCACAGCGAUCAAGUAGUCCCAAACUGUGAGAGGCAGACGAAUCGAUUCGAAUUUCUUAACCAUGCAUGGCGAACCUAAUCUCACGACAUCCGCGCACCACAAAGGUUCACUUACUUUGUCGGCUGUCCCCAUCAAUCCCCAGACACGUGUCGGGCCCACUUUUCUUGGUACAAGGCUCCACAGACCCGACAUCUGCCGUUCUGUGACCACACUUUUCACCACAUGCGGCCACAAGGGAACUUCAUUCUAGAGAUAGUGGAUCGAACCGCUCAUGUCCUGGUUCAAUCAGGUACUAGGCUUCCCCAUCCCAUACUAGGUAUGAGAUUAGUACUUUCAAACACUUGAUCACGAACACCAUCACCUUUCGACCUUAAUCAGAGUUUCAAGUAGACAGACGGGGUAAUCCACCGACCACCAAAAUAGUUCACAGAGCCCUGCCCCGUCCAUCGUCCUUAUAGUGGUAACAAAAAGGAGAACAAGCAACACAUAUAACUCGCAAGUGACAGGAAAUCACUCGACUUUUACCGAGUCCUGUUUAAGCAUUGCAACUACUCGGCCUAUCAGACUAGUGUUCAGAUCAAAGGGAAACUAAGUCAUGCAUCUAUGGUUUCAAACAACUCCUGGAACGUAAGUGCACACACAUACAACAGAAGGCAUGCACAAGUUUAGACAAACUGGGUUAUGCUCCGGGGCUUGCCUUCGAGCGGGGCGAUGGCGAACUGGUCCUCAGUGUGCUCAGGCUCAGCUCCUGCAGGCAGCGGCUCAACUACAACUUUGUCUUCGGGCACCGGGUGCAGCUCGUACGUUCCGUCAGCGAGGUUCAGCUCUACACGGAAUGCAAUGCAAGGGUGAUACACUUAGACGGUGAUUAACAGUAUUGCAAAGAUUUAACCCAAAACUGUAGCAAAACUACAGGAAAAAGGUGUGAAACCCACUUUAUUGGAUUCUACUCAGAACGAGGAUUCCAACCCAAGUGAUUUCACAUUUUUCUAAUUUUUCCACGAUUUAAGAUGUAAUGUCCAAGCUUCUGUCGAUUUAGAACGAGUUAAAAGAGUCGGAUCGUGGAAAACUUACGAUCUGACCCUUAGACCUAAGGAAUAACUGUACCGGGGUCCUUAGAUUUAACAUAGAGAAGUUCCCAAAAUUUUACACAGAUACCCUCGGUCAAAAGAGAAAGACACAACCGAGCCCUCGGGCGAGGCAGACAACACUCGGGCGAGUCGGGCGAGGUGAACAGCACUCGGGUGAGGUGAACAGGGUCGGGCGAGACGGAUAGCACUCGGGCGACGCGGACAGGGGUCGGCAGCUUACCUCCGGUCGUACGGGUGAGGUCUUGGGGUCGGGAAGAAACAAGCCGAAGCGGAACGGCGGAAGGCAGUAAGUUUCGAGCGGCGGCGAGGUCCGGCAGUGCUCCGGCGGUGGUUGUGCUUUUCGUGGACAACAAGCAAGCUCUAGAGCUGGGCGAAAGAAAGGCGAAGCGGCUGGUAGGGACGGCAAGGCGCGGUGUUGAGCGAAAGGGGGAGCUCCACGAUGAGCUCAGGCGGCGGCACUUGAGCGUGAAGCAGAGGAGUGUGCGGCGGCGAGUGCGAUGGAGAAGAGCAGAGAAAGUAGUGUGGCAAAGGUGGUGGUAGCGAAGGGAACUCUGGUAAGAGGCUUUGGUACCUCUUUUAUAGCUGCGCGGAAGUGUUUGGAGGAAGGAAAUGAGCUCGAGCGGCGAGAGGAUAAGAUUGAGGGAGAAGAGGAGUGCUCUGCCGCGGCGGUGAUUGGUCGGCGUCUCCAUUGGCCAGAGAAGCGGAGCUCUGGGGGCAGGAUCAUUCGGGCAUUGUGCAAGAGAGAUAGCGUUAGGCAAGUGCAAGCUUGCCGGGCGGAAGGAUUGGCGAGGUCGAGCAUGUGCCUGGUCGCGUCAAGCGCAGGAUUGGGUGCGGCAGCUCGGCCAGUGUGCGGCAGUGGCGUGGUGUGCGAGGGAAUGGAAGACGCGGGCACUGGUUGGGCGAGCGGGCAAGGGCGUGGGAUGACGGCAGUGGCAUAGGUGGACAGGAAGGAGGGAGGGGCACUGCAGGCGAGGGUGCUGGAGGCGAGGUGACAGGGCGAGCGGUGUGACGUGAGCAUGCGCGAGACUAGCGGCUCUACCGGGGCAUGCUACCGGCGAGGCGGGGAAAGGAGUUGUCACUGCCUGCGCGGUGGUUGGCGAAGACGGCAGUGUCACAGGGCACGCACGCGAGCAGCGUGACUGAAAUGUGACAGAAGGGCUGGAAGGCGUUGGGGCGAGGGGUCGGUGAUAUGGGUGAGACGAAUGCGUGCGUGAGGCGAGGUGGUACCGACGCGGCAGCGACCGGUCUUCAGUCGCAGAGUGGCCGGGGCGACGGCGGAGCUGCGGGCAGUGCACCUGGCGCGGCCGGCGAGGCCUCGGGCGAGACGAGACGGGGCGAAGGGGUCUACAGGGCACUUCUGCGUGCUAUUGGGAAAAAGGCGCGCUGAUCUAUCUUGUCGCGGCCGGCGACUGGGCGAGGCCACGCUCGCCGGUGAGGUCACGCCAUGCGGCGGCAGCACUCUGAGCGCGGCGCACGCGCGCUCUGGCGCUGUCUGGCCGACGGAUCCGCGAGAUCCUUUGUCGGGCCCAUCUUCCAGCCUCUUGAUCUCCCAAUUUUUAAAUUGUGCCAUGUUGACUCCCUUUACAAGAGUUGUAGUACACAGACUAAGGUCCAACUUUUGUAAAUUGACCGAGUUCAAAAACAUGGUGGAAUAGGAGAUUCAAAGCUUCAAAGUUUGGAGGAACACCGGUUUCAGGACUUAGAGAAAAAUGGCCGUUUUGCUGGUUUUUAGGGGUCGGGACUGAUUUGAGCUGCAGAUUUGGGAAUCUUCGGAGGCGAAUUGGACCAAGGUCCAAUUAACUAAGUUGUGGUAGGAACUUCUUUCUCCAACUUCUAUAAAGGGGUUUCUUGAUGUUCUGUUCAAUUUUCCAAGGAUAAACCCACCUUAAGGCGCUAGGUCGGGCUGAUUUUCCAGACUUAGCCAAAAUGGCUAAAGGAGGCUGAGUUGACGAGACUAGGGGACUUGUCUUAAGAUUAAAACUGGGCUGAUUUAAUCUAGGUCGUUACAUCAACCGUCCGAUUUUUGCGUCAACACCUAUCAACAUGAUAAACAUAGGUGCAAGGCAUAAAAUUUAAUCUAUCAUCCAUACUAUUGGUUGAACAAAGGCAUUUCAAGAUAUCAUCAUCAAAACCAAUAGUACCUUGAGAGUUUAAUGUGUACCUUAACCUUGGAGCUUUUUCAUCAAGAGUGAUUUUUUGUUCAUCGACUAGAGUUGAAAGCAGAUUGAUCUCAAUAAUUGGAGGUGGUUCUUCAUCAUCAUCAUGCAAUUCCUCCAGCUCUCCAUCAUGUGGAUCAUGUAGUUCAUUAGCAAUAUUAGCAGUCACCUCUUCUUUGAAGUCUUCAUUAUCUGGGAUAACACCUACAUCUUCAUCUUUAAAGUCUUUUGUAUUGCCUUCAUUACUUCCAUGUGCCAUAUGUCAUCAAAAUCGUUUGUUGUAGACUCACUCUUUUCUUCAUCUUUGAGCAUUAUCAUGUCUUGAUUUUCUAGUGUUCCAGCUUCAAUAGCACACAACCUCUUCACGUUGCGUGCUCUUGCUUUCUGAAAUUUAUUCUCUGAAACUUUAGCCAUAUCACUAGAAUUAUUAGAGAUUAGAUCUUGACAUAUUCCUGCAGUUUUUUCAGCAGUUUUUUCGAAGUCAGGGUACCUCUUCUCUUCAUUGUCUUUCUCUCUAGUGACUUUAAUAUUUCUUCUUCAAACAUCUUCUCGAUUAAUUCUCCACUCAUCUCUUGAUCAAAUAUAUCAUCAAUUUUCCGGGCUUUGCUUUGGUGUUUCUUAUGUCGUAUGUUGUUGUUUAAAUGGCCAAAAUAAAUCGGACUCAAAUCAAGCUGUUCGAAUUCCAUCAAAGGUCUAGCAUUCUCGAAUGUUCUGUCAAAGUUCAUGUUAGUUUUAGUAGUUUUAAUAUGCAUAAUGACUUCUCUUACCUCACAAAGUGCUUCUUUGAUUUUUAGUGUGGUCGGUUCAUCUUUAUUGAGCUCCAGUUCAUCUUUUUCAAAAAUUUCAGCAAACAUCUCAGGCUUGUUCUUGUCAUUUUCCUUCUCCUAGUAGAGUUUCUGCCAUUCUCAUUCCACUCUUUUUGCAUUGCUUAUCCUUUGUAAUAUCUGUGUACCUUCUCUAAUCGUCCUUUCCAUGAAAUCGAGCACACAUUCUUACAUGAUGGGAAGAGUGAGGGGUUAGUGAAAAAUAAAAUGAAUGCAACACCAUGUCCAUAGAAAUUCCCAAGUUCGGGCCUUGCUCAAAUAGUCCAUUAAAUUGGUUCCAAUCUUCAUCGAUUCCCUCAUCUUCUCCUUGCUUGAAAUUAAUCACUUGCUUCCUAAAUCUUGAAUCUUCUCUAAGGGAAAAUAUUUUGAGCAGAAUUUCUUCACGAGCUCAUCCCAAUUUCCGUUCAUUUCAACAAAUGCGAGUGUGUGCCAUCUUCGCACUUCACCUCUAAGAGAGAAUGGAAAAAGAUUCCACUUGAACCAAGUAGCCAAAACUCCUUCUUGUUGCACCAUGUUGCAUAUCAUCGUGAAUCGCUUAGUGUAUCUAUAUGGGUUGUCGUCCUCCAAUCCUCUGAAAAGGGUUUGCGCCGCCACCAACUUGAUGAUUCCAUGCUUCAAUUCAUAGUGAGUUGUAGCAAGCUCCAGAUCUGAUUUUUGCAUCUCAAAGUCCUCUGAUGAUGGCAUUGCUAAUUCCCUCAGUGACAUUUCUUCUUUUCCCUAUGGUAAGAUGAACAGAUCCAUCUAGGCACUGAAAAGAAAAAUAAAAAUAAAAAGAUUCUACACAAAAUUUAAGUAUUAGCGGGUUAGCAAAAUCAAUACAAAGAUCAAACACAGCAAACUGACUUGUUUCCUGGCAACGACACCAAAAAAGCUUAUUGACGGCAGUUAGCGCGCCAAUUCGUGAACCGCAAGCGCACGGAUUAGCUGUAGCUUUUCCCUUAGAGUAUUCUUCCAAGGUUUAUCAAUCCGUGGAAGAAGUGGAUUGCUAGGUCUCACUUUAUACAAAUCUUGCUAAUGAAACUGAGUGUAUGUAUUCUGCAGAGAGACAAACUAAACUAAUAACAGUAACACAAGAUAGGAGAUAGAGAUAGAUAUAAGCAUUCCCUCCAUAGAAUCUAGGUUCACAAGAAUAUGAAUCUACUACACAAAUGAGUGCUGCCUCACUAGCUAUCACAACGGUUACGUGCCCGUUCGGUUUUUUCCCCACUGCAUACUAUCACUACACACGAAUACUCAACUGCCUUGCUCACACACACUAUAUCAAAGCAUCCGCAGAGUUAAGCUAAUCACUACAAUUACCAAAAACUCUUCUAAGAACAUAUGUUGUACAGAAUAAGAGCUCACAUAUGUAAAUGAAGCAUUGCAAUGACAUAGACCAUGAUGCAUUAAUAUGCAUAAAGAACAUGUAGCAGUUACAUAUCAAGGACCAUAACAACCCUAGGGAUGAACAAAGGCUUUACCCCAUGAUUUUACAUAUGUUGAUGGAUAAAGAGGGUAUGGAGCACCUAGAGAACACCCUGAACGAAGACGAAGAUGAGAGGAGGCACGAGGGACUCAGGCCGAUCGACCUGAGCCACCCCAGGCCGAUCGGCCUAGGGGUUUUUGAUAGGAACCCGCUAGGGUUGAUUUCCAAUCUUUCGAUGAGAGGACAUAGGAUAACUCAAUUGGUGGAUGGAGAUGAUGUUCAUGACCUGAUUUCCUUCAAAGUUGUGCCUUAGCAACCGAUACACAACCUCCAAUGGCUGCCACGAUAUUGUGGCCUGCGUCACCCGGCCACUAGGGCACUCGUCCUACCAGCAAUCAAUGAACUAGUAAGAACAAGUAUAACAAGUAUUGAAUUUACUAGAUGAAGAUGAAGGUUUCAAAGUCAAUCUCAAAUAAGGUGGGGUUCCGAAGAUAAGAAGAUGGGUGGCUGAUCCAGCACGCGCGCUUACAAGCAAGUAGCGAGAGCUAAACUUGAUCUAAAUAAAAUCCAAUCUAUUUGUGGUGGCUCUAAUCCUUAUUAAUAACCUCUUGGUAGUAAUUCGGUUAUUACAGCUGCCUCAUAAUAGAUAUGGACUUGAGUCUGGAUCUAUAUGAAAAUAUAUUUCAUAAGGAUUCCAAGGAGAACUUGAACGCCCAAAACGGAGUCUGGAUGAGGUCGUGGCGGCCGUCGCAAGUUGGCACAGUGCUACAGUCCGAAUCCAGCCCCAGAAUGUAUUGGAUUGGAUCUCUUUCUUUCCUUAGGCCAAAAGUGACGUGGUGGCUUGGUGGUGGACAUUGGGAAUAUUUGGACUUGUCUCCCAAUUAACUUCUUUGGUCCUUCAUGCCUUCCAUGCAUGUUUAACACUCCUUUUGAUCCACGUAUGUAUUUCUGAAAAUGACAACGAACACACAUCAUGGUGCAGCAUCACUUUAUCAAAUGUACCAAAUACAAUCAUGGUAAAGAAUUAUUUUACGUAUGAAUCAAAAGUUGCUAAUGUGGUUCUAUCUGAGAUGGUGAUGUCCUCAUCAGUUUCCUCCCUCCUCUUAAGGUCCCCUUUGAUGAGGAAACUCCUGAUCAGAUCUAAUCCCUAUUUCUUCUCUUGUGGCGGCGGCUAGGUCUAAACUCGUUGGAAUCCACCUCCUUGUUGAAAGUCCUUGGUAUUUAUAGUUGGCAAUGUCAGUUGAGGUUCCUUUGAAGCCAAGUUUCUAGAAAAUAACCCUAGGAACAUCGUGGGUUUCUUCCUAGUGAAAGGGCACGACAUCGGGGCCAGAAAUGGGUUAGGCUGAUCGGCCUGGACCCCUUUGGGCCGAUCAGCACACCCUAUAUUGGCCUCCAAUGCUCAAGCACUUCAUUCAAAAGUUGUAGAUCUCAUCGAGCUAUGCAAUUUUCCCUUUAAAUGCGCCCCAAUCGGAGUUCGGUUGAGGAAAAAAUGGCUCAUGCAUGUUUUAGCUCCUCCUGUGGGCUUGCAGUUCAAUGUUCAUAUUUAGGCCUUCCAAUAUCCAUAGUUCGGGCCCAAUUCUAACUUGUAGAAAAGCCCUUUAAUUAUAUUGUAUUUCCUGUGAUUUUGCAAUAUGCUCUAAAAUACAACAGUUAUGCAAUAAUGGGGUUAUUUCAAGUGCCAAGUGGCGGGUUAGUAUAAGAAUAUACAUGAAAACACUAGUUAAAUGACUCUAAAAGUGUGUCAAUAACGAUACUCAACACCGACAGGGGUGGAAAAUAGGCAUAGGCUCUGGCCAAGCCAUUCGAGACCCUUUCGGAAGCCGCCGUUCCCCCCGGAAGCUUCGCCCUCCUAGGGGCAGGGGGGAGGGAGCGAAUGGGGACCCCCAGUCAGUUCCCUGAGUGAGACCUCCGAUUAAAAGCUCUUUAACCCUAUGCAUCAUCUAAAGGGAAAAGGUGAUGCUAGCGUCAUCACUGAGCACAGAGGGAGCUGGGACCAUGUUUGAGGUAAAAGGAAGCACCACACGGAGCUUCCAUAUUCUCCCUAGGUACGGAGGUCCUUCGUACCUGGGGAAAGGGAGGGAGAGGCAAUUGGCCCUAUUGCCCAUAGGGUUGCGCCCCGGCGGGUCUGGACAUGCAGGUCCGUACCGGGGGUAUAAGGGUCCUUUGCCUGAAAAGGUCCCGUCCCUUAGGGCUAUAAAUAUGAGGGCUAUGGGCUCAAUAAACACACAACAUUCUAGCCACUCAGUCCCUUAUAAGCUCUUUGGACAAGUGUCUUAUUCUAGAGUCACCCUCUACUGUUUGGGUAUUUUGUAACCACCAACAGUUGGUGCCAUCUAUGGGGACAUAAGUGACUGAGAAGCCACAUGGCGCCGCAGCGACGGAAGGGGAAGGGAUCCACAAAGGGAAGGGAGCCAUAGACCUUUUGGUGGAUCCCUUCCCCAUGACGACCACUUAUCCCUCCGACACGGCGGCUCCGGGAGGCGGGGUGGCUGCCGGAGCUAACCUGGAGAGGGUUGACCUGGGAGCCAAUGAGGAGUUGGCUGGUGUCAGUGACGACAACCAAAAAAAUAUGGGAAGAACCUUCGGCUGGGAAGGAGGAGAUGGGAGAUGCCUCCAGCCUUGAAGCUGCUGGCUCCCGGGAGGAGCGACUAACUCAGGAGACGGCUAGCCAGGAAGCCAUCAACAAGGAGGCACGAGCCAGGGAGGAGGAGUACCUAUGCCAGUGAGCCGAAGCCAUGCGACGGGCUAGGGAGCUCUGAAGGAGCUAGAAGCCCUCCAGUCGGCCAAGGCCCAUCGGGAUACAUCAGGGAUAGGGAGCGUGGGCGAGCCGAAGCAUCCCACCAGCCAGGUCAUAUCCGAUGGCCAUGCCAGAAGGAAUACCCUCUACGAACCCAAGCCCCCCUAUCCCCCAGCGUCCAAUCCAUCAGUUGGCCACGAGGGUUCAAAAUGCCCGCAGAUUUCCCCCUAUGACGGAAAGACUAACCUAAGGCCUUCGUCAUGAGCUUUGAGGCUGCCAUCCAGUCGGUCGGAGGUGACAAGGCCAUCAUGGAAAAGAGCUAUGUGAUGGCUGUAACGGGCAUCGCCAUACCUGGUACACCACCCUCGAAGUCGGGAAGAUCUUCUCCUAGGAGCAGCUACGGGAGGCCAUGCUGGAAAACUUCUAGGGGAACUAUGACGAUCCAGUCACUUUCGGGCAUAUCUUCACAGUCAAGCAAGGGAGGACAGAGAUGCUCAGGAGCUUCGUCAAGCGCUUCAUCAACAUGAAGUGUUAGGCAAGUGGCCUAAGUGAGAGGACCAUCAUCAACGCAUCCCAGGAGGGGCUGCACCAUAGUCUAGGUGGGGGGGGGGGACACCAGGAGAGGCACAACGGAAGCUCCCCUCGGAGUCCUAUCCCAAGAAGCAGGAGAGAAGGUAUCACGACUCCAUUCCGGAUCGUCCCCGGAAGAAGGACGACCAGUCCAAGCGGUGGGACAAAGCCCAUCGCCCCUACCGGAAGGUCCAAACAGUGUAGGCCUCCCGAGGAUGGGAGGAAUCUCAAGGGGAUCGGAAGAGGGAGAGGACCUCAGACACCCAGAAGCCCUCCUCCAUACCUCAGAACUAUAAGCCUCAAGCGACGUCGAGCCAGACCCAUUACAGGGAUUCGUCAAAACCAUACUGCAUCAUCCACAAACACUGGGGAAGGCACACCACUCGAGAGUGUCCCUCCAUCAACGCGAAGGCCGAGGCACGCCGCCUCCGCCCGGAAGGCCUCCACUCCAGCAAGGCCAGUCGUGCACACCGCCUAGCCUCCACCCAUGGGCUGGGUUAGCAUGUCUCUAGUGCUGAUGCCGCACUCCGCUCAUCCAUGGCUGCACCCGGCAGCAUACAGGAUGCUGCCACAACCACCACCACCACCACCAGGGCAACCACAAGUCCCUCUGCCAGCUCCAAAGCAGGAGGCACUGAUUUGGGACGUGCAUCAUGUGGUGGGGUCUCACCGUGUAGUCCUCCUCAUCUCCGGGGGGAUCCAUUCACGAGGUCCAGCAUGUGACGUCAAGACCAGCAGUCCCGCUUCCCUACUAUGGCACCGUCCCGAUCACCUUUGGGGUAGAGGAUUGCCACGUGCCCUUCUACUCCCAUGUUGAUGCUUUCAUCAUCUCAGCCAACGUCACCAGGGUUGAGAUCCAGCGUAUCCUCAUCGACGACAGGAGCUCUGCGGAUCUCCUCUUUGCCUCAGCCUUCCACAUGGGGCUCUCCCGGACCCAGCUCACCCGUGCCGGAACCUCCCUACACGGCUUUGCGGGGGCAGGGUAGGCAGUCGAAACACCGGGACAGAUCGAGCUGCUGGUGUCUUUCAGCUUCGAAGAAUACGCCCGCAUGGAAAACAUCAUCUUCUAAAUUGUUGACAUGCCCUACUAGUAACAACGCCAUAUUCGGGAGGUGCCUUCUCAAUGCAUUCUACGCUAUCCCCCACCAUGGUUUCCUGUGCAUGAAGAUGCCGAUCCCAAAGGGCACCAUCAAGGUGUUGGGGGACCAAGAGCUCGCCAGGCUCAUCGAGAUUUGGUGUGCGCUGGGGUAGGGGGAGGUCAACGAACUGGCGCUAGUUCCACCAAAAGGGGGUGGGGACGGUUGUCCACGUGCUUCAUUCCAAAGGCUCAUCUUGAAGGGGAAAUCAAGACUGUGGCCCUGUGGCCAGAUAAGCCCGAGAUUAUGGUGCAGCUGGCGACUGACCUCCUGGAACACAUGGAGGUGGCACUCUUGGAUUUCCUUUGGAAAAACAAGGAUGUCUUCACGUGGACCCCCUUUGAUCUCCAGGGAAUUGACCAGGACUUGAUCCAGCACCACCUCAAUGUCGAUCCCAAGAAGAAGCCCCGUAAGCAAAAGGUGCGGAAGAUGUCAAUGGAGUGGAAAGAGGUGGCUUGCAUCGAAGUGCACAAGCUACUGGAUGCCAACGUGAUCUGAGAAGUCAUCCACAUGGAGUAGCUUGCCAACCCGGUCCUGAUGAAGAAGAACAAUGGCAAGUGAUGCAUGUGCGUCGACUUCACCGAUCUCAACAAGGCAUGCCCCAAGGAUGACUUCCCUAUCUCCUGCAUUGACUAGAUUGUAGAUUCUACCUCCCUAAGUGAGCGGCUACCACCAGGUGUGGAUGGCGGAAAAUGAUGACCCUCGGACCACCUUCAUCACUCUAUUUAGGGCAUAUUGUUUCGUACACAUACCCUUUGGCCUCAACAAUGCGAGGGCCACCUUUGCGCGUCUGGUACAGCUGGUGUUCGACGUCCAAGUAGGGAGGAAUCUGGAGGUGUACGUUGACGACAUCAUCGUCAAAAGCAAAGAUGAGCAAGAUCACCUUUCCAAUAUAAGGGAGACUUUCGGAAACCUCCAGUGGACAGGACUCCGCCUAAACCCCGAGAAGCUGACCUUCAGAGUGCACUUUGGCAAGCUGCUAGGUUAUCUCAUUUCCCAGAGGAGGAUUGAGGACAAUCCCGAAAAGAUUCAAGCCAUCCGUGAAAUAGAGCCCCUGAACAACGUGCGAGAGGCACAACGCCUCACUGGGAGGCUACUGACCCUGAGCCACUUCAUCGCCAGGUCGGUGGAGAGGAGCCUUACCUUCUUCGAGGUGCUAAGGGCCUCUGUCCCAUUUCGAUGGAUGGAAGAGCAGCAGUGAGAUUUCCAAGACCUCAAGAAGUACCUGGAGCACCCGGAGGUACGAACCAGCCUCACUCCGGGGGCUCCGCUCUUGCUGUACAUAGCCGCCACGGAGGGGGCGGUGAGCGCAGUCCUAGUGGAGGAAUGCUCCCGAGAUGGAAGGGAAGAGCAAGCUUCGGUCUUCUACAUGUUCGAGGCCUGGCGAGGGAAAGCUGCGUUACUCCGAGUUGGAGAAGAUGGCCUAUGUCGUGGUCAUGGCCUCGUGCAAACUCAAGCACUACUUCAUUGCCCAUCUGAUCACCAUCCCGACAUCGUACUCACUACUCGACGUUCUUGAGAAUCGAGAGGCCAUCGGUCACAUCAGCAAAUGGGCGGCAGAGUUGGCACCCUUCACACUCUCAUUUGUCGCCCGAAAUGCAUCAAGUCACAAGCAGUGGUGGAUUUCAUCGUCGAUUGGAAGCCCACCAUGCUAGUCGGCAGUCCUCCAAUGACGAAGCCUGUCUGGACAGCUUUUGUCAAUGGGGCCUGGGGCACCUUCGGGGAUGGGGCUGCGGCCAUCUUGUCAUCCCUAACAGGACAAGAGAUACAAUAUGCUCUCUGCCUCGACUUCCCUUGCACCAACAACACCGCGGAGUAUAAGGUGCUCGUCCUCGCUCUAUAGAAAUCCUUAGCCUUGGGGGCAUGGAGGCUCCUCGUCAAGAGUGAUUCCCAGGUUGUCACGCUCCAGGUAGAAAAGGAGUAUCAGACAAGAGAGCCAGAACUGGUGGAGAAUUUGCAUGUGGUUCGGAACCUGGAGCACAAAUUCCAAGGCUUCACCGUCAUGCACAUCCCCAGAGCAAAAAAUGAACCCGCCGAUGCAUUAGAGCCACCCAAGGGACCCCACUCCCACCGGAGAUCUUCUUCCAUGUCACCACCCCCGGUGCUGUUGGUUCUUUAGCAAAGACUGGCGCUUCCCCAUCAUCGCGUUCCUUGAAGAGUGGUACACUCUCGAAGAUCACACAGAGAUGCACCAUCUGCAACAGCGGAGCCACAACUACCAGCUCAUGGACGGAACCCUCUACAAGGUGGGGGUGUGCGCCCCACUCUUGCGGUGUAUCCCAAGGGAGGAGGGGUGCUAGAUGCUGGAAGAAAUGCACGCUAGGUCUUUCGGGGCACACUCGGCAUCCAGGGCCCUAGUCGAGAAGUCUUUCUGACAAGGAUUCUACUGGCCAGCUAUGGUGGAACUGCCCAAAUUAACCCGGCUAAAGUGUUCUCAACAUCACCUCAAAUGCGAACCACACUUUAAUCAAGUCCAUUCGGUAGUCCUUCGGGUUAUACCCGAUAAACCACUUGUUUUGGAUCGAACGAAAAGCAUCUCACAUGAAGGUGAGUCUAGAGAUUACAACAUUCUUGUACUUAAAGCAUAGAUCCAAAUUAAGUUAUUACACACCCACUGUUCGAAAGUGCAUAAGUAUGAUGUUUAGAGUUUCAAAGCAGUGGAAAACGAUAACAACUACGCGUCAAAAUAGGGAUGCCAUGGUGAAGCCUGCCAUGUCAUCAGUUACCGCGAUCCUCGCCGAUCGAGGAUGGGUCCUAAUCGACCGUCCAACUCGAAGGUAGCCGGGUCGGCCAAGUUACACAAGCAGCAAACUCCUCAACAUCUAAGUUACCUGAAAGUAAAGCCACAAGCAAGGCUGAGUCUACUAAUACUCAACAAGACUUACCCGUCAGGUGGUAACUACUCCACCAACUUCUAGACAUGCAAGGCUUUUUAGCUGAGGGGUUUGUUUUGCUAAAAGCAUCAAAAGUAAGUACUUACUUUCAAGUUUUAGCAUUAGGUUUUAGUUGAUUAACCAUUCUAGAUAAACACCUACUCUAAACAAACAUGGUGAACAAGCAAUUUAGACAAGCAUCAAUAUUAUUUAUCAUACUUGUUCUUCUUCUUACUCAGUGUAGCAUAGUGAUCAAGCAGUCUCAAACUGUGAGAGGCAAAUGAUUCAAAUCAAGUGUUUUAACCUUGCAAGGUGAACAUAAACCCCACAAUAUAUGCUACUGCCGCACCGGGUUCACAUAUAUCAGCCGUCCCCAUCAAUUCGUGGUGUUUGUCCAGAGCCCACUUCCCUUGAAUACAAGGCCCCACCGGUUCUGGGAUGUCGCCGUACCGUGGCUGCACUUGUACCCACAUGAGGCCUCAUGGGAACUCGGUUCCAGAGAGAGCCGGUUAAAGGUUCACGCCGAUUCAAUUAGGUACUAGGCUUCCCCAUCCCAUACUAGGUAUGAGCUUAGUACUUUCAAACACUUGAGCACGAACACCAUCAUGGUUCGACCUUAGCAUAUUUUUUCACUAGACAGACAGGGCAAUCCACCAAUCCAGAACAUAUAGCCCAGCCCCACCUGUCGAUCAUUAUGAUUUCAACAUAAGUAAAUAGGCAACUCCUAUAGCUCACGAGUGACAGGAAAUCACUCGACUUUUACCGUGUCCCUAUUUAGCAUAGCAACUACAUGACUUAAAAUACUAGUAUUCAGCACAUAGGUACCUAGGAUCAUGCAACUAAGGUUUCAAGCAACUUCUAUGAACUUAAUGCACAAACAUAAGUAACACAAGUAGUGCAUAAAUUUAGAAAUCUGGGUUAUGCUCUGGGGCUUGCCUUUCUGAACUAUGUUAGUUAGCAGGUCGUUGGAAGCUUCGGGAAUCUCCUGCGUGGCCUCGACAUGGUGCAGCUCUACAGAUCCUUCCUCGGCAGCAGGCGUCAACUCGUUGGUCCCGUCUGCGAGGUUCGCUUCUACACGAGAUGUAAUGCAAUGAUUCAAUAUCUCUACCUUUUAUGGUCUGACAGGCAUUUCAAUUAUUAUGACAAAGUAAAGCUAAAUCAGGACUAACUUCACCUAGACAAGUGCCUAAUUACUUUUCUUCAUAGUUUAAAGUGUUUUUGCGAUUUAGAUACCUAGUUCUAGUUCGAUGGGGAUUGUACACAUAUAUGUAUAACAUGUUCAUUAAACUUUAGAUUGAAGGGUUAUCCUAUUUCUAAAUGUUUUUCCGUACCUCUUCCACUAUUUACCAUUUUACCCUUCUUAUUACUUAUUGUGUUUUUAUUCAUUUAUUCUUGGUUUAACUUCCAAAAUUUGUCUCUGCAUGCAAACAGUGAGAUAUGGCAUAGAACAUUUAACAGGAAUUUAACCAAGUCAAAAAUAAGCUAUUGUAAAAAAAAUUUGGAGCUCACUAGACUUUGACAAAAAGCAUUAAAAUUACACCAAGAUCCUAUGGUUGAAAGCACUUAACUAUUUUUAUCUCAAAAUCUACAGAGAAUUUGUUUCUGAAAUUUCAACAGUGUGUUAUACAGGUGCAACAGACCUACAGUGAAUUUUCCACGAUUUUUUGUGAAGGACAUCUAUUUUCCAUAUUUUUCUAGUAUUUAACUUUGCAUAAAAAGGAAAACAUGUUUCAUGGGUGAUCUAACAGAGGUGGUUUCAUAUUUUUCUUUGACAGAUCCUAUUACUUCUACAAAAAGUAAAAUCUUUCACUAGAUUUCAAAGAUAAAUCUAAAGCAGUGUGUAAAACAUCUAAACUAGGGUCACAAAUAUUUCUCCUAGCACAAGCUCAUUGUGUUAAAGCUAACGGAGCUAGUUUUGUUAUUUUACCAUUUUUGGGUGAUUUACCAAGCAUUUAAAGGAUUAAACACCAACUAAAAUCUACUGCUAAACACAGAUCAGAAACAUGCGUAUGAGUAUUUUUAAAUGAAACUAAACAUCACCAGGAACCUAGCAAAACAAGAAUAUUUCCCAUUUUUCUAUAUUUUUCUAUGCCCUUUCAAAGUUUCAACCUUUUUAGAUCUAAGAAAUAAAGAAAACUAAGGUCAACUUGCAAACUAGCCCCUAGAUCUAUGGUUUAAUUGCGCAAAGGUCCCUGGAUUUCUCCCAUAACCCCCUAACCUUUCUCCUUCUUCUCCAACGAGAUCCCCCACGCAUACGAAUCACAGGCACGGCAACAGACAUGGCGCACGGCACUUGGGCCGGCCGGGAACAGGGGGAAGGGAAGGGGCGUGGCUUGGGGGAGAGAGAGAGAGGGGCGGAUCCACUUCGGAUCUACUUGGUUAGACAUGAUUUAGCCGCCUAAUAUGCGACGCUCAUGCCUAAGCCGAGUAAACACGAAGUGCCGUCGGAUUUUCCUCCGAUUUAACCACUUGAACAUGACCAUUUUAGCAGACUCACACGAAGGUGAGCGGUUCCAGAGAGUACAACAAGUCCACAAGUUAACCAUUAACCACUUAGUUUAGUUACGAAAGAACAUCAGAGUUUUACAAGAUUUCAGAAAACAACAGAAGGUAAAACACUAGCGGAAGCAAUCGUCGGGUUCGGACGUCCUGGUGAGGCCAGCCGGGACAUCACUGAUCCCUUUCCUCACCGUCCGAGGAGGGAUCCCACUCGACCGUCCAACCCGGAGGGAGCUGGGGCGGCCAAGUGCCAGCAGGGGAAGGGUCGGGAGUAGCGACUUCACCUGAAAAACAGGAGCCACAACAAGGCUGAGCCACUAAGCUCAACAAGACUUAACCGACAGGAGAAGCUACUCCACACUUCUAGACAUGCAGGGCCUUUUGGCUGAGGGGUUUUGUUGCCAAAAGCGCUAAGUAAAAACCCUAUUUUCAAGUUUUAGCUCUCGUUCUAGGUUCAUUAACCGGUCUAGGUUUUGCAACCUAUUCUUAAGCAAUCAUAGAACCAAACAAGAUAUGUAGAUAUAUCAACAAACAUGUCAUCAUCAGAUUCCUCAUUUACUCAGGGUGACAUAGCGAUCAAGCAAUCUCAAACUGUGAGAGGCAGCCGAAUCGAUUCGAGUUCUUUAACCAUGCAUGGUGAACCUAACCUCACGACAUCCGCGCACCCGGAGGUCACUUCCUGUGUCGGCCUUCCCCAUCAAUCCCUUAACCCGUGUCGGGCCCAUUUCCUUUGGUGCAAGGUUCCACAGACCCGGCCUCUGCCGUCCUGUGACCAUGCUUGCCACCACGUGCGACAACCAGCAGGGGAAACUCCGUUCCAAGAACAAUGGGGCGACCGCUCACAUCUAGGUUCAAUCCGGUACUAGGCUUCCUCAUCCCAUACUAAGUAUGAGGUUAGUACUUUCAAACACUUGAUCACGAACACCACCACUGUCAGGCCUUAGCAAGUUUUCAUAGAUAGAUAGGGCAACCAUCCAAUCACCAAAGACUUACCUAAAACCCUGCCCCGUCCAUUGUCCUUAUAGUUGUAACAGAAGGGUAGACAUCCAACUCCUACAACUCGCAAGUGACAGGAGAUCACUCGACUUUUACCGUCUCCUAGUUAAGCAAAGCAACUACUCGGUCCAACAGCUAGUGCUCAGAUCAUGGGGAUAACUAAGUCAUGCCUCUAGGGUUUCAAACAACUACUGUACGUAAAUGCACAAGCAUGUUACAGAAGGCAUGCGCAAGUCUGGUAAAACACACAGGGUUUUCAUGCAACCGGGGCUUGCCUUCGAGCAAAGAGGAGGGGAACUGCUCGACUUCGAGGGCGGCUUCGGCUUCUGGGGGCAGGAGCUCAGCUACAGCUUCAUCUUCUGGUGCCGGGUGUAACUCGUAGAAGCUGUCGGCGAGGCGCAGCUCUACAUGAAUGCAAUGCAAGAGUUAGCAUAGACGGUUAUUUCAACAGCAACACUUGCUCGCCUGAGCCCAGAAACUCGCGACAAAGAGCAGGAGGGGGUGGAGGUUCAAGGAGCUGGUGGAGAUCAACAGGUAAGGGUUGGAAAGGAACUUAUGAUCUGAUCCUUGAACUAGAGGAUGUGGUAUACUAGGGAUCCUCAGACGCAAGCGCUGAAGGGUUCCUAAGUUUUACACAUACACCCUCGGGUUGAAGAAAAAGAUCACAGCCGAGCCCUCGGGCGAGGUGGAUAAGGGUCGGCGGAACAGAUAGGGUCGGGCGAGACGGAACCGGGGUCGGGCGGAUAAGAGGGGUCGGGCGAAGCGGACUGGGGUUGGCAACUUACCUUCUUCUUCCUACGAGGAAAGCUUGGGGUCGGGAGAAGCAGACUUGGGCGGAGGGACUAAGGCUUUGAACAACGGCUAAGUCCGACAGUGCUCCGGCGGCGGCGGUGCUUCUUGUGGAUCACAAGUGAGCUUUUACGCAGCACGGAGGAGCAAGCGGCUGUUGUGGCUUGGGGAAAAACGGAGGGGAGCUUAGAGGAGGGUUCCUCAGGAACUUAGGGGUGGUGCUAGGAGCUUGAGCAGGGAGCAAGAGAGAUGACGGAAGGCAACAAUGGCGGAGGGAACUCCGGCGGGCUCGCGCAUUCCCUUUUAUAGCGGCUGGGACGGGGGAAGGGGAGCGGCGCAGGAGCGAGAAGGGGAGCGGUGCGAAGGCCGGGGAGAAGCAAUGGAGUGCUCUGCCGGGACGGCGAUUGAGCGACGAGGGCGGUGGUGCAGGACUUCGGGGAUGACGCCAGCGGUCACUGGGUUCUGGCGUCAGGGCGGCGCAUGAACGAUCAUGCCGGUGGUUGAGAUUUGGCGGAGGCGGGCGUCGCCGUGUGGUGGAUUUGAUGGACGUGACCGGGUUAACGGCGCUAGAAUCGAGGGUGCACAGGUAAGAAGACAGGCAGCCGCGGGCGCGCGGGCGAGCGUGGAGCAACAGAUUGUCGGGCGGCUUCUGACAGGGCGGGGAAAGGAGCUGUCGCUGCCAUGGUCGGGGUUGGUGAAGGAGGAAUCGUCGGGUAGCGAAGACCAGGCGGCGCGACUGUGUUCGAAGUGACGGAAAAGACGAGCGACAUCGGGCUCUGCAGCCGGGAUCUGGCGGUGUGAUGAUGGGCGCGGGAGGCGAGGCGCGGCAGAAAGGUUGCAGAGGGGCUUCCGCUGCCAUUGGGGAAGGAGCGCGAGAAUCCAUUCGGUCGCAGGUCAGAGAUGAGGCUGAGCGGCGGGCGUCGGAGAAGAUGAGCCACGCGGCGGGGGGGGGGGGACUCUGGAGCGGGCAUGCAACUCGAGUGCGCCUGCCACGGAAGAUCUGGGGGAAAAAGAUCUCGCGGGUCCACUGGUCAGAUAGAACGGACGUUUGAGAAAGACUUAGAAGGAUCCGACGGUGGGCUGGUUUUGGCGGGGUCGGAACCGAAGCAAGGCGGGGAGGGGUCGGGUCUCAGGGGUCGGGACCGAUCGGAAGAUUGAACACUUAGGCGCGGAAAAAAACUAGACAGAUGAUCAGGGGCUAGGAUUAAGAUUAACCCGGGAGAUUUGGGUCGGUCGUCACAGGCUGCCCACAGCGUGAGAGCCUCACCAGCAGGGUCUGGCGACGAGGAAAGGCGCGACGCAGUGGAGUUCCAGGAGGUAGCGGAUGGACAGGGAGGGGCUCGCCGUGGGGAGCAUGGUCCGGCAAGGGAGGGCGGCCGGGAAGUGGCAAAACAGAUGCGCGGUGGCUUGAGGAUGCGCCUGGCACGAGGAAUUGGCCGGUGGCUGCCCGACAGUGACGAAUUUCAUCAGCAAAGAAAGAGGGAAACUUGGAGCUUGGUUAGUGGCAAUGGUGGUUUGGGAGGGGGAAAUAGUUCUGGAGGGUCUAGCACUGCUUUUAAGGGCCAGGGGGAACGGAUAGGAACGACACGGUGACACUGGAUGGCCAUUUGCGGCAAGGGCGAGUGCCGAGCAUGGCGGCCCCGUGGCGGCGCUUCUGUCCAUGUGGCGCUCAUGCCGUGCAUGCGGAGCUCUGCCCAAUCGGGUGCGAGGAGUGGCGUGGGACGAGCAGGGCUUCACAUGGGCAUCGUUAGGGUGGCCAAUCGGCGGGGGAAAGGUUGUUGGCACCCCCUAAUGGCGAGCGGCACUGCUGUGCUGCCCAACUGGUAGCAGACAGAUUGGAGGAGGCAGGUAGAAGAAAACUUCCAAGUGGGCCCGCGGUAUUAAACAAAAGCCCAAAUUUCUCCACUCAUUUGACAUAGCUAUACUAGUUCAAAAAUUCUCUAAAAAUACUUGUUGGAAAGAUAAAAUCACAAAGAUUCAAAUGCCACAAAAAUCAACUCAAGAGCUGCUAUGGUUUUUACGCAAUUGACAAAACAAAACAGCUAGAUUUGAACUUUAAAUGAAAUUUUUGCAUAAGCAAACAUCUCUGAAAAAUUUGGUAAAAAAUAUUUUAAAAUCACUAAAUAGUAUCUAGUAUUUAAAUAGAAUAAAAGGAGGCAUAGCUGUAAAUAAAAACUUGGGGUUUCUUCACAAGUUUGAAUUUUUAACAAUAAACAACAAUUAUGUGAAUUUAACAAUGCAUAACUUAUACUCAAUUUUGAACUUCCUCUCCUCAAAAUCAGAAGUGGUAAUAACAGAAGUUGUUUGUUUUGAAAUAUUCUACAACUUUUAUAUUAGCCAAAAGUUGAGUUCUUAUAAUAAAAUUCAUUUUUAUUUGCUUUCCAAGUGCUUUAGUAAAAGGUGUUCAGCACUUAACCAUUUUGAUUUUGCUUUGAUUUAAACUCAAUUUUUCUUGACGUGGCUCCUAAUUACCAGGGAUGUCACACCUACUACGCUCCGGGAUGCCCAAGAGAUUGUCAAGCAUUCCGAUGCCUGCCAAAGGAUGAGCAAGAUGAGUCGGCUCCCCGUAACACUGCUCCAGCCCUUGGCUCCUAUCUGGCCGCUCGCACGGUGGGGCAUCGACAUUGUGGGACCUCUCCCCACUACACGGGGAGGCUUCCGUUUCGCUGUGGUAGCAGCGGAAUGCUUCUCCAAGUGGGUAGAGGUGGAACCCGUCACUGCAAUCAAGUCCGUCAACAUCAUCAAAUUCUUUUGGAAGGACAUCAUGUGCCGUUUCGAGGUGCCACGGGAAGUCACUAUGGAUAACGGAAAGCAGUUUGAUUCAAAAUGGUUCUGGAACUACUGCGAAGACCUAGGUACGAAGGUCUGCUUUGCCUCAGUGUACCACCCACAAUCCAACGGGGCAUGUGAACGUGCCAACGGCAAUAUCUUCGCAGCAAUAAGCAAACCCAUCUUUGGUGAACCCAAGGGCAUGUCGGCCGAUGAGCUCCCGAACAUAUUAUGGGCUCAUCGCACAUCUACAUUGCACCCCACCAGAUUCACCCGCUUCCAACUUCUGUUUGAAGAAGAGGCCAUGACCCCGGAAGAAGCCUUGCAUAGCUCUUUACGAGUCAUGCAACCAGCUGAGAAGGGAGAGGAGGCGGCAGCGAAGGAGCUGUUGGAGGAAACGUGAAUCCAAGCCAUGGCCAACCUCGAGAAGUACUAGGCAGAGACAAGGGCUUGGCGUGACAAGAAGAUGCAAAACUGUGUGUUCACCGAAGGAAACUUGGUACUAGAUCGUCGGAGGAAUUCUGACACUUUCGGCAAGUUCGAAAGCAAGUGGGAAGGGCCCUUCAUCGUUGCCACCAACAGCUGCCCGGGGAGUUACCGCCUCACUUCCCCAGAUGGGGAGGAAGACCCCCACUAAUGGAAUGCAAACCUCUUGAUCCGGUACUACCCCUGAGCUUGGGUAGCAUAGGCAGGGUCUGCGCACGGCCCAUCCCCGGUCGGAAGGCAAUUGCCACUGCGAGCUUUUAUUUUUCCCUGUUUGUAGCCAUAACUUGUUUUUGAUCUAUUUUUUCCCUUAAUUUUGCUUUUGCAAGCUAACCGCUGGGGUAGCACGGCAGAUCUUCCAUCGUUUAGCUGUCAGUGGCAUCUUCUGGCCGCUACCAAGAGGUAGGGCAUCAUAAGGUUGUAAGGGCUACCAUGCCAGUCAUCGUAUCAAUGUAGUUUCAGCUUGACAGCAUCCCGCUGCUCCUUUACAGAAGCCAUGCUUCCCGAUGAGUCGCAUUGGGUAGCUAAGGUGUGGUGGAACACCUCGGAUUAACUUAGCUAAAGCACGGUUAAGUCGCCUAACACGCGAAUCUCAUGCUUUAAUCAAGUUAACUCGACGAUCCGUCGGAUUUCAUCCGAUUUAACCACUUAAACAGGACCGAGUUAGCAUAGCUCACACGAAGAUGAGUGGUUCCAGAGAAUACAACAGAUCAAAUAAUUAGUCCAAUGAUUCAUUACACACUGGCUCGAAAUCAGAGUUUUACAAGGUUCAAAAGCAAUGGAAAGAUAAAUAGCGGAAGCUAGCGCCGGGGUCGGAUGUCCCUGGUGAGGCCAAACAGGACAUCAGUGAUCCCGCUCCUCGCUGUCCGAGGAGGGAUCCCACUCGACUGUCCACCCAGGAGGAAGCUGGGGUGGCCAAGUGCCAACAGCAGCAAACUCAGAAGCUUCAACUUCACCUAAAAAGAGAGAUGCCACAAACAAGGCUGAGCUUCUAAGCUCAACAAGACUUAACCGACCGGUGGGCAAACUACUCCACCACUCCUAGACAUGCAAGGCUCUUUGGCUGAGGGGUUUUGUUUGCCAAAAAGCGACUGCAGUAGGUCCUUACUUUCAAAGUUUUAGCUCCGGUUCUAACUUCAUUAACCAGUCUACAUUGGCAGCUUAUGCUAAGCAAGCAUAGUUUCCACAACAAGUGUAGAACAAGCAUCGAGUUCAUCUCAUCAUCAUGUUCCAUCUUUACUCAGUGUAGCAUAGCGAUUAAGCAGUCUCAAACUGUGAGAGGCAGAUGAAUCGAUUCGAGUUCCUUAACCAUGCAUGGCGAACCUAACCUCAUGACAUCCGUGCACCACAGAGGGUCACUUCCUGUGUCGGCCAUCCCCAUCAAUUCCCUGACCCGUGUCGGGCCCACCUCUCUUGGUGCAAGGUUCCACAAACCCGGCCUCUACCGUUCUGUGACCACACUUGCCACCACAUGCAACCGCAGGGGAACUCUGUUCCAGAGACAGUGGAUCGAACCGCUCACGUCCAGGUUCAAUCAGGUACUAGGCUUCCCCAUCCUAUAACGGGUAUGAGAUUAGUACUUUCAAACACUUGAUCACGAACACCACCACUGUCGGACCUUAAACAGAUUCAAGUAAACAAAUGGGGCGAACAGCCGACCACCAAAAGAGUUCACUAAACCCUGCCCCGUCCACCGUCCUUAUAGUUGUAACCAGAAGGAGAACAACCAACUCCUAUAACUCGCGAGUGAUAGGAAUCACUCGACUUCUGCCGAGCCCUAUUAAGCAUUGCAACUACUCGGACUCAACAGACUAGUGUUCAGAUCAAGGGAACUAAGUCAUGCAUCUAUGGUUUCAAACAACUCCUAUAAUGUAAAUGCACAUACAUAUGAAGGAAGGCAUGUGCAAGUUUAGAAAGUUGGGUUAUGCUCCGGGGCUUGCCUUCGAGCAGGUUGGAGGCAAACUGGUCCUCUGCAGGUUCUGCUUCAGCUCCUGCGGUCGGCAGCUCAGCUACUGCUCCGUCUUCUGGCGCCGGAUGCAGUUCGUAUGUGCCGUCGGCGAGAUUUAGCUCUACACGGAAGUGCAAAUGCAGGGGUUAAACAUUUAGAUGGUUAUUUCAACAACACUUGCAUGUUUUAGCUCAGACACUUGUAGCAAAGCUACAGGAAAGGUGGAGGGGUCCAACUUCAAUUGGUGGAGAACAGGAUGAAAGGGUCGGAUUGGGAGGAACUUAUGAUCUGACCCUUAGACUUAAGGAAUAACCGUACCGGGGUCCUCAGACUUAACACAGAGAAGUCCCCAAAAUUUUACACAGAUACCCUUGGGUCAAAGGGAAAGAUAUAGCCGAGCCCUCAGGCAAGGCGGAUAAGGGUCAGCGAAACAGACAGGGUCGGGCGAGAUGGAAAAAGGGGUCGAACAAACCGGGAAGGGGUUCAGCAGCUUACCUUUAGGCCUACUGGUGAAGUCUUAGAGUCGGUAAGGAACAGACUUAGGUGGAAAGACUAAGGCGCUAAGGCUUGGAUGGCGGCGAGGUUCGACGGUGCUCCGGCGGUGGCGGGGCUUCUUGUGGACAACAAGCAAGCUCUAGCACCGUGCGGAGGAACAGGCGGCUUGUGGGUUGGGGAGAAGCAGGUUUGAGCGGAGAAGGGAACUUGCUCAAGAGCUUAAGCAGCAGUGCUCAAGUGUGAGCAGAGUAGGGUGAGGCGAAGCAGCGAUGGCGAAGGGAACCCCGGUAGAGGCUAUGGUACUCCCUUUUAUAGCUGCGCGGAAGAUAGAGAGUUUGAGCAAGGCAAAUAUCGGGAAGAAAAGGAUGGAGUGCUCUGCCUUGGUAGCGAUUAAGCGGCGAUGGGCGGUGAAGCAGAGCUUCGGGGAUAGGGUCUUUGGUCAUUGGGCACUGGAGACAAAGCCGGCGCAGGCGUGGUUUUGCCGGGAUUAAGAGUUGGCGAGGACGAGCAUGGUCUGGUCGCGUCAGUUGGCGGAUUGUGGGCGGCGAUUUGACUGGCGUGUGACAGGAAGGAAGGCACUACAAGCGAGGUCGCAGCAGGCGAGGUGACAGGGCGAGUGGCGGCACAAGCGAGCGCAGAACAACAGCUUGCCGGGACACAUCACUGGCGAGGCGGAAAAAGGAGCUGUCUCUGCCGGGGCCGUGGUUGGCGAGGGCGGUAUUGUUGUGGAGUACGCGCAUGGGCGGCGCGACUGUGGAGGACAUCGGGGCUUGCGGUCGGGGAUCCAGGAGAGGUGAUGGGUGCGGGAUGCGAGGCGGUCUGGCGCGGCAACGGCAAAACCUCGACCACAGUGGUGACAGGGCACCUUGGCGCGGCCGGCGAGGGUGUGAGCAAGACAACGCGAGGCAGAAAGGGCUGCAGGGGCUUUCGCGCGCGAUUGGGAGGGAGGCGCGCUGGUCUAUCUUGUCGCGGACGGCGACUGGGCGAGGCAGCGCGCGUCGGAGAGGUUGAGCCACGCGGCGGGGAAGCUCUGAAGUGGAGCGCAUGCUACUCUGGCAUGUUGGACUCGAGAGAUCCGUGCGAUCUGGUUUUGGGUCCACCAUCCAGACUCUGGCUCUCCACAGCUCUAAGAUUUUGGACCAACACUGCCUUUGGGGACUUAGAGAAGAGCUGUCGUUUGCCGGUUGGUACGAUUUUAGGGGUCGGACCGGUGGAAACUAUAGAUUGGGAUUAGUCUUGAGAUUAACUCGGCUGGUUAACCAAGGUCGUUACAGCCUACCCCCCUUAAAAAAAAGAAUCUCGUCCCGAGAUUCGGGUGUAAGGGCAACCAGUGGGGGUGUGCGGUCCUUACCUUCUUGGUUGAAAAGAAAACCUCUGAAGUGCUUUUUUAGAUAUUCCUCUGUUUCCCAGGUUGCUUCUUCCUCCGUGUGGUUGCUCCAUAGUAUCUUGUACAUUUUCACAACUUGCUGUCGGGUGCGUCUUUCCUUACGGUCGAGGACUUUGGCCAGGUACUCGGCAUAAGUCAGGUCGGGUUCGAUCUGAAGUUGCUCCUGUUCCAAUAUCUUGGUUGGGACUUGGACACAUUUCUUUAGUUGGGAUACAUGGAAAACAUCAUGAAUGGACGAAAGUUGUUCCGGUAGUUGGAUCCGGUAAGCAACGGGUCCACAAAUUUCCACAAUCGCAUAAGGACCAAUGUAUCGGGGAGCCAAUUUCCCUUUUACUCUGAAUCGUUGCACUCCUUUGGUCAGGGAGACGCAAAGAUACACGUAAUCACCAAUGUCAAACUGCAGGGGCCUCCUUCUCUUGUCGGAGUAACUCUUCUGUCGAGAUUGGGCUGCCUUGAUAUUUGCUUGAAUUAUCUUAACUUGCUCUUCGACUUCUACUACUAGAUCAGGACCAUAGGUUUGUCUUUCUCCAACCUGUGACCAAUUCAAUGGCGUCCGACACCUCCGACCAUAUAAGGGUUCAAACGGUGCCACCUUCAAGCUAGUCUGGUAGCUAUUGUUAUAGGAUAACUCUACCAAGGGUAAGCACUUAUCCCAAUUCUUGUCAUAAUGGAUGACACAAGCUCGUAGCAUGUCUUCAAGGAUCUGAUUUACUCUCUCGGUCUGACCAUCGGUUUGCGGGUGAUAGGUCGAGCUACGAAUGAGCUUGGUGCCCAGUGAUGCUUGUAGCUGUUCCCAGAAACGCGCUACAAACUGAACUCCUCGAUCAGAUAUGAUCGUCCUAGGCACACCGUGCAGAGAAACAAUGCGGUCAAGAUAUAGCUCUGCAUAUUUCUUGGCCGGGUAGGUGGUGUGAACAGGAAGAAAGUGGGCAGACUUGGUGAGGUGGUCCACAAUAACCCAAAUGGAGUCAUCUCGCUGCGAUGUAGGGGGCAGUCCAACAAUGAAGUCCAUGCUGAUGUCUUCCCAUUUCCAGGAUGGGAUAGGUAGCGGUUGCAGGGUACCUGCUACCUUCAAAUGGCUAGCCUUGACACGUUGGCAGGUGUCACAUUCCGAGAUGUAGCGUGCAAUUUCUGGCUUCAUUCCACUCCACCAGAAAGUUUGACGGAGAUCAUGAUACAUCUUAUUGCUGCCAGUGUAGAUUGAGAACUUGGAGAGAUGAGCUUCAUCUAGGAGUUGCUUCUUAAGAGUGGGGUCGGAUGGAACAACAAGUCGGUUUCCAUAGUACACUCUCUCAUUCUCAUCCUGUCGGAAUUGCUUAUACCCCUCAUCCCUCCGUGCAAUUUUCCUUUUAAUUUGCUUUAUUCCCUCAUCCUCUAACUGCACUGACCCAAUUUGGUCCUCCAAGGCAGACUCAAGGGAAAUAUGAUCGAGGCUUCCAUGGGGAACAAUCUCCAAACUAAGUUUUCUCAUCUCAUGACACAGAGUUUCUGUGGAGUUGAUUACCGACAAGCAAUUGCAAUGGUUCUUGCGACUAAGAGCGUCGGCUACUACAUUGGCUUUGCCAGGGUGAUAAUGUACUUCCAAAUCAUAAUCCUUGAUCAACUCCAACCACCUUCUUUAGCGCAUGUUGAGGUUGGCUUGAGUAAAGAUGUACCUGAGGCUCUUGUGAUCGGUGUAGAUGUUGUAGUGGGUGCCCAUCAGAUAGUGUCUCCAUAUCUUUAAGGCAUGAAUCACUGCUACUAACUCAAGAUCAUGGGUCGGAUAGUUCAGCUCAUGCAGUCGCAAUGCCCGUGAGGCAUAGGCAAUGACACGGUUGUCUUGCAUAAGAACACACCCAAGUCCAGUGCCAGAGGCGUCACAGUACAUGUCAAAUAGCCUGGAAGGGUCGAGUUGGGCUAAAACUGGGGUAGAAGUCAGCAGGUGUUUUAAGGUGUGGAAAGCUUCUUCGCACUUGUGGCUCCACACAAACUUGACUUCCUUUUUCAGUAGCUCGGUCAUCAGCUUAGCUAUCUUUGUGAAAUCCGGAAUGAAAUGCCGAUAGUAGCCUGCUAGUCCAAGAAAACUGCGGAUUUGCUGAACCGAAGUGGGUGCCUUCCAGUCCAUGACCUCCUAUACCUUGCUGGGGUCCACUGCUAUGCCGUUCCGAAAGAUGGUGUGUCCCAAGAACUUAACACUCUCCAACCAGAAUUCACACUUGGGGAACUUGGCAUAAAGCUGAUGAUCCCUCAACCACUGAAGAACCACAUGAAGAUGCUCGGCAUGUUCUUCUUCGUUCUUCGAGUAUACCAAAAUAUCAUCAAUGAACACCACCACGAACUUGUCCAGCUCGGGCAUGAACACCGAAUUCAUGAGAUACAUGAAAUAAGUGGGUGCAUUGGUGAGUCCAAAGGACAUAACCAGGUACUCGUAGAGUCCAUAUCUUGUGGAGAAAGCAGUUUUGGGAAUGUCACAGGGUCGGAUCUUGAUUUGGUGGUAACCGAAACGAAGAUCAAUCUUGGAGAACACUCUAGCUCUAGCUAAUUGGUUAAACAGAACAUCAAUGCGGGGAAGGGGAUACUUGUUCUUGAUAGUCACCGCAUUGAGGGGUCGAUAGUCCACACACAUGCGUAGACUUUCAUCAUUCUUCUUCACAAAUAGGGCUGGGCAACCCCAGGGUGAAGUGCUGGGUCGGAUAAAGCCUUUCUCCAACAGAUCAUGCAAUUGGGUUUUCAACUCGGCCAGCUCGGCGGGUGGCAUCCAAUAGGGUCUUUUUGAUAUCGGGGCGGUGCCUGGCUGUAGUUCAAUGACAAACUCGAUAUCCCUAUUGUUGGAGGUAUGCCCUAGAGGCAAUCAUAGAGAUGAUGAUAUUCCAUUUGUAUCCAUGAUUUGUAUAUUGUGUUCAUUGAAUAUCCAUUAAAGGCUACUUGAAUUGAUCUGCAAUUAUGUGAAUUGUAUGUGAAACUCUUUACUUGUAUGGUUAUUCUAAAGUUGUCCCUAGUCAGAGUUCAUGUGAGGACACACAUGAAUAUUAGACUAGCACAUGUAUUAGUUGAU